GACAAACGCUGGCGGCAUGCCUAACACAUGCAAGUCGAACGGACAGAACAGGGAAGCUUUUCGGAGUGGAACUGGAAAGUUAGUGGCGGAUGGGUGAGUAACGCGUGGACAACCUACCUUGUAAAGGGGAAUAACCUCGAGAAAUCGAAUCUAAUACCCCAUAAUAACCUUGCUUCGCAUGAAGUAAGGAGGAAAGGCGGCCUUAGCGCUGUCGAUACAAGAUGGGUCCGCGUCUGAUUAGCUAGUUGGUGAGGUAAAGGCUCACCAAGGCGACGAUCAGUAGCCGGCCUGAGAGGGUGAACGGCCACAUUGGGACUGAGACACGGCCCAAACUCCUACGGGAGGCAGCAGUGGGGAAUCUCCCGCAAUGGGCGAAAGCCUGACGGAGCAAUGCCGCGUGAGUGAAGAAGGCCUUCGGGUUGUAAAACUCUGUCCUUAUCGAAGAGAGAGUGUUGUAGUAACUGACAAUACUAGGACGGUAGAUGAGGAGGAAGCCCCGGCUAACUAUGUG
rnacentral:rRNA from 1 species